AGCAGCCGCGGUAAUUCCAGCUCCAAUAGCGUAUAUUAAAGUUGUUGCAGUUAAAAAGCUCGUAGUUGUAUUUCGGGGUUAGUAGGUUGGUCAUGCCUCUGGUAUGUACUGGUCUCACUGAUUCCUUCUUCCUGAUGAGCCGUAAUGCCAUUAAUUUGGUGUUGCGGGGAAACUGGACUGUUACUUUGAAAAAAUUAGAGUGUUUAAAGCAGGCUAACGCUUGAAUACAUUAGCAUGGAAUAAUGAAAUAGGACGUUCGAUCCUAUUUUGUUGGUUUCUAGGAUUGACGUAAUGAUUAAUAGGGAUAGUUGGGGGCAUUAGUAUUCAAUUGUCAGAGGUGAAAUUCUUGGAUUUAUUGAAGACUAACUACUGCGAAAGCAUUUGCCAAGGAUGUUUUCAUUAAUCAAGAACGAAAGUUAGGGGAUCGAAGACGAUCAGAUACCGUCGUAGUCUUAACCAUAAACUAUGCCGACUAGGAAUCGGAUGAUGUUAAUUUUUAAUGACUCAUUCGGCGCCUUAC
rnacentral:rRNA from 1 species